rnacentral:lncRNA from 1 species
UUUUUCUCCCGCUUUAUAGCUGUAUAGACCCCAGCUGCAGUGAAAUGGCCAUCAAAAAGGGAAGGGAUAAUCGAGUGGUGGAAUAAAAUCUGCAAACAGAAAAAGCACAGACCUGUUCUCGGAACGAGGCUUUUCGAGUUACCACCAUGACUGAAGGCUAAGAGCAACUUGCUUGCGGAUUAACGAUCACUUGGAGAGAGAGGUCCAGUGAGCAACAACGGCCAGAAAUUUCAGGGAGACCAUCUUGAACCAUCCAGCCUCCACCAAGCCAACAGCUGACAGCUG